rnacentral:misc_RNA from 1 species
GAUGAAGAACGCAGCGAAAUGCGAUACGUAAUGUGAAUUGCAGAAUUCAGUGAAUCAUCGAGUCUUUGAACGCACAUUGCGCCCCCUGGUAUUCCGGGGGGCAUGCCUGUCCGAGCGUCAUUGCUGCCCUCAAGCACGGCUUGUGUGUUGGGCCUCCGUCCUCCUCCCGGGGGACGGGCCCGAAAGGCAGCGGCGGCACCGCGUCCGGUCCUCGAGCGUAUGGGGCUUCGUCACCCGCUCUUGUAGGCCCGGCCGGCGCUUGCCGACACAUCAAUCUUUUUUCCAGGUUGACCUCGGAUCGGGUAGGGAUACCCGCUGAACUUAAGCAUAUCAAUAGCGGAGGA